AGCUCCAAUAGCGUAUAUUAAAGUUGUUGCAGUUAAAAAGCUCGUAGUUGGAUCUCGGGUCCAGGCCUGCGGUUCCUUUAACCAGGACACUGCUUGCCCUGACCUACCUGCCGGCUCUCCCUUGGUGCUCUUAACUGAGUGUCUCGGGUGGCCGGAACGUUUACUUUGAAAAAAUUAGAGUGUUCAAGGCAGGCUUUGAGGCUUGAAUACAUGAGCAUGGAAUAAUGGAAUAGGACCUCGGUCCCUAUUUCGUUGGUUUUACGGACCGAAGUAAUGAUUAAGAGGGACAAUUGGGGGCAUCCGUAUUUCGUAGUCAGAGGUGAAAUUCUUGGACCUACGAAAGACGAACAACUGCGAAAGCAUUUGCCAAGAGUGUUUUCAUUAAUCAAGAACGAAAGUA
rnacentral:rRNA from 1 species